UACGAAGGGGGCUAGCGUUGUUCGGAAUCACUGGGCGUAAAGGGCGCGCAGGCGGCUACGCACGUCCGUUGUGAAAUCGCUCGGCUCAACUGGGCGGGGUCAGCGGAUACGGCGUAGCUGGAGCAAGCUAGGGGGCAAUGGAAUUCCCGGUGUAGUGGUGGAAUGCGUAGAUAUCGGGAGGAACACCAGUGGCGAAGGCGGUUGCCUGGAGCUUUGCUGACGCUGAGGCGCGAAAGCGUGGGGAGCGAUCCGG
rnacentral:rRNA from 1 species